GACGAACGCUGGCGGCGUGCUUAACACAUGCAAGUCGAACGGAAAGGCCCUGCUUGCAGGGUACUCGAGUGGCGAACGGGUGAGUAACACGUGGAUAACCUACCUAUAAGACUGGGAUAACUUCGGGAAACCGGAGCUAAUACCGGAUAAUAUAUUGAACCGCAUGGUUCAAUAGUGAAAGACGGUUUUGCUGUCACUUAUAGAUGGAUCCGCGCCGCAUUAGCUAGUUGGUAAGGUAACGGCUUACCAAGGCAACGAUGCGUAGCCGACCUGAGAGGGUGAUCGGCCACACUGGAACUGAGACACGGUCCAGACUCCUACGGGAGGCAGCAGUAGGGAAUCUUCCGCAAUGGGCGAAAGCUUGACGGAGCAACGCCGCGUGAGUGAUGAAGGUCUUCGGAUCGUAAAACUCUGUUAUUAGGGAAGAACAAAUGUGUAAGUAACUAUGCACGUCUUGACGGUACCUAAUCAGAAAGCCACGGCUAACUACGUG
rnacentral:rRNA from 1 species